UAAUGGCUGGGGCCAGCUUCUCCAAGGUGCGCGUUCGGAUUUGAAGGUGCCUCUCCCCCCUUCCCGUUUCCUUCCUCUCAGAGAUACCUGAGCCAGCAGGUCAACUCAGGUUACCUCAACAGCUCGGAUAUAAAGGAACCGCAAGCAGCCAUCCUCGCUGGGGCGUCUCUGCCCCUCGCCCCGAGGCCUGCUCCGCCCUCCUAGGUACCACGGAUUUAUGUUCGUUUGUCCGGGUCAUUCUGCCUUUUUGUGUUAAUUACGCGCUGCCUGCUUGGUGCUUAUCUCCUUCGCAAAGCGAUUAUUUUCGACGCCCGCCCUCCUGAGCCUCUCGAGCCGGCUGCCAGAGCUAGGGCCCAUCUCCCGCCGCCACUCGCGAUUUAUUUACACCUCGCAGAGACACUGUGCAAAGGAACUGCCGCGAUCUCCCCCCUAUUCAGGCGCAUUUCUGGGCUCAGAACACCUCCGCUCACGCAGAUGCACGCUCCGAGGCUCCCGCGACCUCCUGCCCGCGGCGCACACCCUAAACUCCUCGCUCCUCUUACCCUGCCGUUGGUUCCGCACUGCCUAUUCCGCCGCCGCCUGCAGGACUUUGGGGUGGGACUGUGACUUCUCCCGACUGUUUGCCCCCUGGUUUGUAGCCCAUCCCUCUCUCUGUCUCUCACGCGCGCUCUUUCUCCACCUCUCCCUCCCAGCCAGUGAGGUCCCGUUCUCCGUGGGCCAUAGACAAAACAUUCCUAUAAUCCGAUUUCAAAGGAAAGAGUGUCCACCUUAUUUAAACCAUAAAACAAUUAAGCCCAGACGUCUAGCCAGCUCCGCGCUGCUGUUUUGUUCGGCCCCAUUCAGAAUCCAGCGCAGGGAGACAAACAGCGCCAUAAAAGUGGCAUUUCGGGGCUGCGGAAAUGUACCUAUCCGCUGCCUUCCCAAGUGGAACAACCUUUAGGGUUUUGUGAUUCUGACAAAGGAGCAGAGGAGAGGUGGGAGGGGAAGAUUAGGGCAGGAGGGCGUUUGCCAGCCCCUCUUUCCCCCAGCUUUCGUUUCUUUCCCUAGAUGUGGGUUUGCGUUGUGUUGUGGUUUAA